GCGCCCCUAGCUCAGCUGGAUAGAGUAUCGGGCUUCGAACCCGAGGGUCGCAGGUUCGAAUCCUGCGGGGCGCGCCG
rnacentral:tRNA from 1 species